GCGGACGUGGCGAAAUUGGUAGACGCACCAGAUUUAGGUUCUGGCGCCGAGAGGUGUGAGAGUUCGAGUCUCUCCGUCCGCA
rfam:Neisseria sp. 10023 chromosome, complete genome.